rnacentral:rRNA from 1 species
UACGUAGGGCGCAAGCGUUGUCCGGAAUCAUUGGGCGUAAAGGGUGCGUAGGCGUCCCUAUAAGUUACGGUUGAAAUCUCCUCGCUCAACGAGGAAACUGGCCGUAAAACUGUAGGGAUUGAGUACACUUGAAGCGGGCGGAAUGUGUCAUGUAGCGGUGAAAUGCUUAGAUAUGACACAGAACACCGAUUGCGAGGGCAGCUCGCUAAAUUGUAACUGACGCUGAGGCACGAAAGCGUGGGGAUCAAACAGG